GACAGGAGGAGCUAGCGUUAUUCAGUAUGAUUGGGUGUAAAGAGUGCGUAGAUCGCUUUAUAAGUUUAAUCAAAAAUGCUGGAUUUAUAGUUCAGAGCAGAUUAAAAACUGUAAAGCUCGAGUCAAGUAGGUGGUAAGAAAACUUCUGGAGGAGCGCUUAAAUGUGUUGAAACCUGAAAGAAGACCGUGAGGCGAAGGCGCUUACCAAGGCUUGUACUGACCUUGAGGUGACGAAGGCGCGGGGAUCAAACGGG
rnacentral:rRNA from 1 species